UAACUGGCCAUUAACGUUCAUACUUUGUUGUUUAUUUCUUUUCAUAGUCAUAUCAUACUGUAAAUAGUUUAUUUUAAUGUUGUAAAUAAAUUGAUUUAUUGUUCACGUUUAUUUGUAUCUGGUUCUGGAGGGGUUAUUGCGCUGGGUUAUCACAGCUUCUGUAACCCUGACCGUUACAAUUGCUCAUGACUGGCAGAUGACCCCUAUUGAUUUUCAGGUCACUAGGUCAAAGGUUAAGGUCACAGUGACUCGAAAUAGUAAAAUGGUUUCCGGAUGAUAACUCAAGACUUCUUACGCCUAGGAUCAUGAAACUUCAUAGGUACAUUGAUCAUGACUGGCAGAUGACCCCUAUAAAUUUUCAGGUCACUAGGUCAAAGGUCAAGGUCACAGUGACUCAAAACAGUAAAAUGGUUUCCUGAUGAUAACUUAAGAAUUAUUAGGCCUAGGAUCAUGAAACUUCAUAGGUACAUUGAUCAUGGCUGGCAAAUGACCCCUAUUGAUUUUCAGGUCACUAGGUCAAAGGUCAAGAUCACAGUGACAAAAAACGUAUUCACACAAUGGCUGCCACUACAACUGACAUCCCAUAUGGGGGCAUGCAUGUUUUACAAACAGCCCUUGUUGUAAUUUUAUAUAAGUUGACUGACAGAAAACAUACAUUAUUCUAUCAAAGCUGGAGAAUACAUGUAGUGAAGCUUUUGCUGUCUUUGAGACGGCUCUUGUUAAGGUGAUAUAUACUGGUAUCAUGUUUUGGAAUACAUGUUUUGAAAUAGAUGUCUUGUUUUGUUUCCAGGGGUCAUACCUUUGCCAGUUCAAGCUUAGAGGACCAUGUUCCCCAAAUCCAAUGUGGCCCUAUAUCUCAACAGGUCUAGUUGUCUUGCUUACAACAAGAGUGCCCAAAAUUUGAUCAUGAUCAAGGAAGAAAGAAAGCCACAGGAUAAGACCCAAUAAGAACAAAUAGCUGCUUCAGCAUCAAUAGCCUAUCCCUGUACAAGGCUUUCAAAUGAAUACCUCGCAGAGCUAAUGAACAGAGCCAGUGCGUAGAACAUGAUUUUUAGGAGGAAUAGGAACCUAGGCCCAAUAUCAACCUGGUUCCAAUCUCGCGAAGAUGUCCACCGGCCGCCCCCUAGCACAAGCCUCGUUAGCCCCAAGGUGUUGUCAUGAUGCCCCUGGACAACAGCUCUUGUUGGGCUCUUCCCAAUAGCAGUAGAUCAACAUGGCAUAUCAGCAUGAUGCCCCAAACCAGCGCUUCAUAUUUAGCUACCAGCAGUAUCCAUGCAACCAAACCUUGAUCACUCAGCAACAGAUAAAUCAGCAGCAGGGAUGGAGUUAGCCGUUUCAACGUCUGCUCAGUUGCCUCUCAGAGCCAGUCGGCUUGCUGUGUUGCUUAGCCAAUCCACUACUUAUGUCGCAGCACAAUAUCUCAUCUGGAUCCAUUCCACUGCUGGCGCAACAGCAGGUCUGUUCUCUGUACAGAGCCGUUUCUAUGACGAUGAAGUCCUACAACUCGCCCAGUACUUGCUUUUGCGUCAGGGUCAGGUUCAAGGCCUCAUGGGCUUUGGUGGUCUGGGCAAGAUGGGAAUGUUAGACAGACGCCAAUUGAAAAAUAUCCAAACCGUCCAAUCAGAAAGACAGUCUGUUGCAGCAGUUAUUCAAACCUAGGA